CUGCUGCCUUCCGUAGGAGUCUGGGCCGUGUCUCAGUCCCAAUGUGGCCGUCCACCCUCUCAGGCCGGCUACUGAUCGCUGCCUUGGUGGGCCGUUACCCCGCCAACUAGCUAAUCAGACGCGGAUCCAUCGUAUACCACCGGAGUUUUUCACACUGCCCCAUGCGGAGCCGUGCGCUUAUGCGGUAUUAGCACCUAUUUCUAAGUGUUAUCCCCCGGUAUACGGCAGGUUAUCCACGCGUUACUCACCCGUCCG
rnacentral:rRNA from 1 species